GAUGUUAUUCCUUGCGGGAAGAGUGCCGUUAGGAUUUUCCAGUUGUUUGGAGACAAAUUGUAGUAGACGACGUGACGGAAUCAAUUUCAUACAAAAAACUGUUUUUUUUUUCUUUUUUUUUUUUUUACCCAAAAUUAGAGAAAAUUAUAGAUAUUUUUGUCGUGUGUGUGUGUGAAGGUGUCGGUGUGUGUGUGUGAUGAGUGUGAAGCACAAACAAUAAUGAGUGGCUAAGUAGAGCACGCAAAAUGAAUUAUUUGUAUUAUUAUUAUUAUUAUUUUUUUUUUUUUUUUUGAAUAGGACGCAAUCGUUGUGAGACAGAGAAGGUCGCUUUCUGUCUCCUACUCUCGAGUAGGUUUGUUUGUUUGUUGUCUUUGAAUGUCGUUUGUCAACACGUGACUUUGUUAAUUAGUCGUCACAAUUCCAGUGUUUGGAAAUCGCUAAAAAGGAAACUGAUAUCAAUGGAAUAAGCAGGCAAAGAGAGUGAAUGAGAGAGAAGCGUAAACAAAUAGAACGCGACAUUAAUCUGGCUAGUUCAAUAAACCGAAGAAUUUGGAGGGGAAGAGAGAAGCGAAACACGCGAAUAGCGCGACCAAAGGCGAAUGCACAUAAACUUGAAUUUUUUAUGCGUCUGCAGCCGGCUGUCUGACUCUGAUUUUCGAACAAGGCGCCAACAGGAGAGAGGGCGCGGAGGAGAGAGAGCGCGAGAGCGGGAGCGGAAGCACACAAAUAACGGGAUCAGGUGGAAAGGAGACUACUGACACGGCGAGUUUUAUUUUAAGCACAU